UACGUAGGGUGCAAGCGUUAAUCGGAAUUACUGGGCGUAAAGCGUGCGCAGGCGGCUUUGCAAGACAGAUGUGAAAUACCCGGGCUCAACCUGGGAACUGCAUUUGUGACUGCAUGGCUAGAGUACGGUAGAGGGGGAUGGAAUUCCGCGUGUAGCAGUGAAAUGCGUAGAUAUGCGGAGGAACACCGAUGGCGACGGCAAUCCCCUGGACCUGUACUGACGCUCAUGCACGAAAGCGUGGGGAGCAAACAGG
rnacentral:rRNA from 1 species